rnacentral:misc_RNA from 1 species
GAUGAUUUUUUCUCAGUACAACUUCCUCCAUCAAGACAUCCUGCUGAAAAUCCACAUUCCUGCAGUUCAAAUUCAAAAACUCCUUUGCUGCCAGUUGAGUCUAACAAGAAAACAGAAGAGGAUGACUUUAGAGUUCCUAUAUUUGUUAAAUCCAAGGCGAGCCAAGGAAAUGGAAAGCUUUAUAGUACUCUGGAUGGUAGAAAGCUCUCUGCCUCUACUGCAGUAAUUUCGGGGCAUUCUAGAAA